rnacentral:misc_RNA from 1 species
GAUGAAGAACGUAGCGAAAUGCGAUAAGUAAUGUGAAUUGCAGAAUUCAGUGAAUCAUCGAAUCUUUGAACGCACAUUGCGCCCGCCAGCAUUCUGGCGGGCAUGCCUGUUCGAGCGUCAUUUCAACCCUCGAGCCCCCCCGGGGGCCUCGGUGUUGGGGGACGGCACACCAGCCGCCCCCGAAAUGCAGUGGCAACCCCGCCGCAGCCUCCCCUGCGUAGUAGCACACACCUCGCACCGGAGCGCGGAGGCGGUCACGCCGUAAAACGCCCAACUUUCUUAGAGUUGACCUCGGAUCAGGUAGGAAUACCCGCUGAACUUAAGCAUAUCAAUAAGCGGAGGA